rnacentral:rRNA from 1 species
AUUGAACGCUGGCGGCAUGCCUUACACAUGCAAGUCGAACGGCAGCACGGGAGCUUGCUCCUGGUGGCGAGUGGCGAACGGGUGAGUAAUACAUCGGAACGUACCCUGAAGUGGGGGAUAACGUAGCGAAAGUUACGCUAAUACCGCAUAUUCUAUGAGCAGGAAAGAGGGGGAUCGCAAGACCUCUUGCUUUAGGAGCGGCCGAUGUCGGAUUAGCUAGUUGGUGAGGUAAAGGCUCACCAAGGCGACGAUCCGUAGCGGGUCUGAGAGGAUGAUCCGCCACACUGGGACCGAGACACGGCCCAGACUCCUACGGGAGGCAGCAGUGGGGAAUUUUGGACAAUGGGCGCAAGCCUGAUCCAGCCAUGCCGCGUGAGUGAAGAAGGG